UUGUGGAGGAGGACGCCGAAGGUGGGGCUGAUGACUGGGGUGAAGUCGUAACAAGGUAGCCGUACCGGAAGGUGCGGCUGGAUCACCUCCUAACAGGGAGACAAAAACUGAUUUAUUGAUGUCUGAUUAUUUUUCAGGCCGUAAUCCUGUCACCUUAGGUCGAUCGGUACCUCAGCUUAAAAACUUACUAAUUUCAUGAGAAAUCAAGUUUUUAUUUAAGUUUUUAAUCUCAGUUCCUAAACUUGUCUAGGUCACACCCAACAAACUUUCUCCUGGGCUAUUAGCUCAGGCGGUUAGAGCGCACCCCUGAUAAGGGUGAGGUCCCUGGUUCAAGUCCAGGAUGGCCCAUUCGUUGUUGGGGGUAUAGCUCAGUUGGUAGAGCGCCUGCUUUGCAAGCAGGAUGUCAGCGGUUCGAGUCCGCUUACCUCCACUGAUCAACUACCUGAUAACUCAAUUGGAGAUUGUCAUUUGUUUUACGUGACUUAGAUAUUGUUCAUCUGAAGGAACCUAGCUUCCUAUCACUCCUUAAUUAAUUUUAGGCUGAUAAGACGCUGGGCUCACUGAAUAUUCUUAGGAAUAUCAGUCUGAUUCAGUAGAACCUUGACAAUUGCAUAGGAAAAGUCUGGAAAAAUAAAGCAUCUCAUAGAUGCAUAGAAAUACUAUUAUUCAUUAAUUUUUUUUUUGAAUCACUUAUUGGUAUUUCUAUGAUUAAUUCUUGAGUUAGAGCAAAAAACAUCUAUUGCUUAAUUUAUUUAUUAGUUAUUAACUCUUUAAAUUUAGUAAGUAAAAUAGAUUAAUGGUCAAGCUACAA
rnacentral:misc_RNA from 1 species